rnacentral:rRNA from 1 species
AGAGUUUGAUCCUGGCUCAGGAUGAACGCUAGCGGCAGGCUUAACACAUGCAAGUCGAGGGGCAGCGGGGAGGAAGCUUGCUUUCUCCGCCGGCGACCGGCGCACGGGUGAGUAACACGUAUGCAACCUGCCCCUGUCAGGGGGACAACCCGCCGAAAGGCGGGCUAAACCCGCGUACAUGCCACCCGGGCAUCCCGGAGGCAGGAAAGGCUUCGGCCGGACAGGGAUGGGCAUGCGGCGCAUUAGGCAGUAGGCGGGGUAACGGCCCACCUAACCGACGAUGCGUAGGGGUUCUGAGAGGAAGGUCCCCCACACUGGUACUGAGACACGGACCAGACUCCUACGGGAGGCAGCAGUGAGGAAUAUUGGUCAAUGGUCGGGAGACUGAACCAGCCAAGCCGCGUGAGGGAGGAAGGUACAGAGUAUCGUAAACCUCUUUUGUCAGGGAACAAAGGCGGGGACGUGUCCCCGGAUGAGUGUACCUGAAGAAAAAGCAUCGGCUAACUCUGUGCCAGCAGCCGCGGUAAUACGGAGGAUGCGAGCGUUAUCCGGAUUUAUUGGGUUUAAAGGGUGCGCAGGCGGUCUGUUAAGUCAGCGGUCAAAGCCCGGGGCUCAACCCCGGCCCGCCGUUGAGACUGGCAGUCUCGAGUUGGAGAGAAGUAUGCGGAAUGCGCGGUGUAGCGGUGAAAUGCAUAGAUAUCGCGCAGAACUCCGAUUGCGAAGGCAGCAUGCCGGCUCCACACUGACGCUGAGGCACGAAAGCGUGGGUAUCGAACAGGAUUAGAUACCCUGGUAGUCCACGCAGUAAACGAGAAAUGCUGGCUGUCCGGGGGGACUGACCCCUGGGUGGCGAAGCGAAAGCGAUAAGCAUUCCACCUGGGGAGUACGCCGGCAACGGUGAAACUCAAAGGAAUUGACGGGGGCCCGCACAAGCGGAGGAACAUGUGGUUUAAUUCGAUGAUACGCGAGGAACCUUACCCGGGCUCAAACGGGGAGUGACUCAGGCAGAGACGCCUGUUUCCCACGGGACACUCCCCGAGGUGCUGCAUGGUUGUCGUCAGCUCGUGCCGUGAGGUGUCGGCUUAAGUGCCAUAACGAGCGCAACCCCCGCGUGCAGUUGCUAACAGUCAACGCUGAGGACUCUGCACGGACUGCCGGCGCAAGCCGCGAGGAAGGCGGGGAUGACGUCAAAUCAGCACGGCCCUUACGUCCGGGGCGACACACGUGUUACAAUGGGUGGUACAGCGGGAAGCCAGGCGGCGACGCCGAGCGGAACCCGAAAUCCACUCUCAGUUCGGAUCGGAGUCUGCAACCUGACUCCGUGAAGCUGGAUUCGCUAGUAAUCGCGCAUCAGCCAUGGCGCGGUGAAUACGUUCCCGGGCCUUGUACUCACCGCCCGUCAAG